GAGUGGCGCACGGGUGAGUAACGCGUGGGGAUCUACCCAGCAGUAAGGGAUAACAUCGGGAAACUGGUGCUAAUACCUUAUACGGCCUUAGGGCGAAAGAUUUAUCGCUGUUGGAUGAACCCGCGUAGGAUUAGCUAGUUGGUGAGGUAAAAGCUCACCAAGGCUCCGAUCCUUAGCUGGUCUGAGAGGAUGAUCAGCCACACUGGGACUGAGACACGGCCCAGACUCC
rnacentral:rRNA from 1 species